GACGAACGCUGGCGGCGUGCCUAAUACAUGCAAGUUGAGCGCUGAAGGUUGGUACUUGUACCGACUGGAUGAGCAGCGAACGGGUGAGUAACGCGUGGGGAAUCUGCCUUUGAGCGGGGGACAACAUUUGGAAACGAAUGCUAAUACCGCAUAAAAACUUUAAACACAAGUUUUAAGUUUGAAAGAUGCAAUUGCAUCACUCAAAGAUGAUCCCGCGUUGUAUUAGCUAGUUGGUGAGGUAAAGGCUCACCAAGGCGAUGAUACAUAGCCGACCUGAGAGGGUGAUCGGCCACAUUGGGACUGAGACACGGCCCAAACUCCUACGGGAGGCAGCAGUAGGGAAUCUUCGGCAAUGGACGAAAGUCUGACCGAGCAACGCCCCGUGAGUGAAGAAGGUUUUCGGAUCGUAAAACUCUGUUGGUAGAGAAGAACGUUGGUGAGAGUGGAAAGCUCAUCAAGUGACGGUAACUACCCAGAAAGGGACGGCUAACUACGUG
rnacentral:rRNA from 1 species